rnacentral:rRNA from 1 species
UACGUAGGGUGCGAGCGUUGUCCGGAAUUAUUGGGCGUAAAGGGCUCGUAGGCGGUUUGUCGCGUCGGGAGUGAAAACCAUGGGCUUAACUCAUGGCUUGCUUUCGAUACGGGCAGACUAGAGGUAUGCAGGGGAGAACGGAAUUCCUGGUGUAGCGGUGAAAUGCGCAGAUAUCAGGAGGAACACCGGUGGCGAAGGCGGAUCUCUGGGCCGUAACUGACGCUGAGGAGCGAAAGCGUGGGGAGCGAACAGG